AGUACAUAAACAGUACAUGCAAAUGACCAAGGAUUCCAUCCAAGCAGAAGAAACUAUGCAAAUAAUAUACAAAGACUUUUUUCCAGCCAGUCAUUUAUCAGUUCUAAAAUAGUGAUACUGGCCAUUUAGAGGGGCUCAGAAAACAACAGUCACCUGGUUUAUUACAGACCAUUAGAGCGAAGUAUUUACUUAUUAAAAAUAUGUAUUGGGAGCCUCCUGUGUGACAAGAACCAUUCUAGACGCUAGCAGUAAGCAAGAUAGUCAAGGUCCUGAUCUUUUGAGACUUUCAUUUCCAGCAAGGGCAAACAGACAACACAGACUGUAUUGUAACAUAUCAGCUGUGGUAGGUACGAUGCAGAGAAUCAAAGCAGAGUGACGUGAUGGCAAGUUUAGAUUGGGUGGUCAGAAAAGGCUCCCUUGAAGGAGAUGACAUCGAGAAUGCGACUGUCAGAAGCUAACCUUGAAAUGAUCAAAGGGGCACAGUGUUCCAGGCAGAGGCAACAGCUUGUGCAGGAUCGAGGUGGGAAUGAACUCGGCUUCUUUCGGUUCUUUGAAGGAUGGGUAAGGUCAGGCAAAUCAACCUGCCCUGCCUCCACAGUCAGAAAGAAGAGUGACCCAGAAUCUCCCUUUCUCUCCCCAUACCUCGUUGAAAACUCCCAUGUUGGAGACCAGCGGCUGAAGAAGCUUAUAAUUCCCCACCUGCAAUACACCAUGGAAAUUAACAUCUGGGCCAGAACUGGGCUGGUCUCCAACAGGAAGUUUUCAACCAGGUAUGGGGAAAGAAAGGGAGAUUCUGGGUCACUCUUCUUUCUGACUCUGGACUCAGGGCUGGUCAAUUCGCCUGACUCUGCCCAUCCUUGCUUCUCAGGUGGUGAGCACUGGUGGGGAAGCCAUGUGGAGCUGCUCAAGCGAGCUGGAGCCUUUCUAACCUAUAGCUCCUUCUGUCCCCCUGAUGACUUGGCUGUCCAGGGCCUCCUGGGAGUCAAGUCUUCCUUCUUUGCCAAGAUGCACUGCAGCUCCGGGAAAUCAUCUCUCGGUGAGGCAAGCGGGAAGGCCAGUGGGGGUGGAGAAGAAAUCUAG
rnacentral:lncRNA from 1 species